rfam:Camelus ferus unplaced genomic scaffold scaffold1047, whole genome shotgun sequence.
GAGGGUGUAGCUCAGUGGUAGCAUGCAUGAGGUCCUGGGUUCAAACCCCAGCACCUCCA